UUGGCCAAGGACUUUGUGUGCCUCAUGCUCUGCCAGGGAGGAGGGGAAGCUGGGAGGAAGCAGAGACAGGACACCUGACUCAAGCUAGCCAAAGAGGUAUUCCAUACCAUAGCACGUCAUGCCCAGGAUGUAACUGGGAGUUACCCGGAAGGGCUGGGACUGCGGGGUUGAACGAGGUAUUGGUCGGUGCUUGGUUGGAUGGAGUGGGGCGAGUUACCGGUCAUCUGGUGCUGAAGUGUUGUAUUCUAUUCUCUUGUUAUUUCCUUUAUCAUUAUUAUUAUUGGUGGUAGCAGUAGUGAUUUGUGUUAUCUUUUAGUUACUAAACUGUUCUUAUCUCAA